AGAGUUUGAUCCUGGCUCAGAAUGAACGCUGGCGGCGUGGAUAAGACAUGCAAGUCGAACGGGGAAUCUUUGGAGCUUGCUUCGAAGGUUCCUAGUGGCGAACGGGUGAGUAUCACGUGAGCAACAUGCCUCGAAGAAUGGGAUAGCCCACCGAAAGGUGGAUUAAUACCGUAUGUGGCUGGCGAUCCUAGGAUUGCUUCGCUAAAUGGUGGGGAACCUUCGGGUCCUGCCGCUUCGAGAUUGGCUCGCGGCCUAUCAGUUAGUUGGUGGGGUAAAGGCCUACCAAGACUACGACGGGUAGCCGGUCUGAGAGGAUGUCCGGCCACACUGGAACUGAGACACGGUCCAGACACCUACGGGUGGCAGCAGUCGAGAAUCAUGCACAAUGGACGAAAGUCUGAUGCUGCAACGCCGCGUGGAGGAUGAAGGCCCUAGGGUCGUAAACUCCUGUCAUCAAAGAGUAUGGGGGUGAUGGUUAAUAACUGUUGCUCCUGAUAGUAUUUGAAGAGGAAGGGACGGCUGACUUCGUGCCAGCAGCCGCGGUAAUACGAAGGUCCCGAGCGUUAUUCGGAAUCACUGGGCGUAAAGAGUAUGUAGGCGGCGCGGAAAGUCAGGUGUGAAAGCCCGGGGCUCAACCCCGGAACUGCACCCGAUACUCCCGCGCUAGAGUAAUGGAGGGGAGUCUGGAAUUCACGGUGUAGCAGUGAAAUGCGUGGAUAUCGUGAGGAACACUAGUGGCGAAGGCGAGACUCUGGACAUUUACUGACGCUGAGAUACGAAGGCCAGGGUAGCGAACGGGAUUAGAUACCCCGGUAGUCCUGGCAGUAAACGGUGCUCGCUUGGUGUGAGAGGAUUCGACCCCUUUCGUGCCGGAGCUAACGCGUUAAGCGAGCCGCCUGGGGAGUACGGUCGCAAGACUAAAACUCAAAGAAAUUGACGGGGACCCGCACAAGCGGUGGAGUAUGUGGCUUAAUUCGAUGCAACGCGAAGAACCUUACCUGGGCUUGACAUGCCGUCAUAGUCCCGUGAAAGCGGGACGUCAGUUCGGCUGGACGUGCACAGGUGCUGCAUGGCCGUCGUCAGCUCGUGUCGUGAGAUGUUGGGUUAAGUCCCGCAACGAGCGCAACCCCUGUGAUUAGUUGCCAGCACGUAAUGGUGGGGACUCUAGUCAGACUGCCCAGAUCAACUGGGAGGAAGGUGGGGACGACGUCAGGUCAGUAUGGCCCUUAUGCCCAGGGCCGCACACGUACUACAAUGCCCAGCACAAUGAGAACCGAUAUCGCGAGGUGGAGGAAAUCUAUAAAACUGGGCUCAGUUCGGAUUGGAGGCUGCAACUCGCCUCCAUGAAGCUGGAAUCGCUAGUAACGGCACAUCAGCUACGGUGCCGUGAAUACGUUCCCGGGUCUUGUACACACCGCCCGUCACAUCAUGGAAGCCGACCGCACCCGAAGUAUCUGCGCUAACUUUUUAAGAAGCAGGGUCCUAAGGUGUAGUUGGUAACUGGGAUGAAGUCGUAACAAGGUAACC
rnacentral:rRNA from 1 species